UUCACAAGCAGUUAAUUUAGCCUGUUCAUCUUUACCCAUGACAGUCAGCUUAUAUCUCCACUUGAUAAACUGUUUAACUCAAAGUCUCUUGAUCUGUGGAAUGUCUCCCGUUUUUGGACUUUUCUUAAUAAUGGCAACAGCAGCACAUGGUUCUGCAGGCUCAGACAGCACCAAUAAAACACAUUAUGUAGCUCUGGGACGACCUGCGUUUAUACAGCUGAUAAAUGGAACCAGUGGCUAUGAGCUAACGCUACAAAAGGAUGGAACUGUGAUUUUCAGUUUUAGAAAGAACAUUCAUUUUCGAGAAAAUUGGGGAUCUCAGUUUAAUUUUGAUAUGAAUGGCACCUUGAUGAUCACCAAGGCAGAAAGAAACCUUUCUGGCAUUUAUACUUUGGGAGUAUUUAACUUGGAUGGCAUGAAUAUACGAAAAGAAACAUUGAACUUGAUCAUUGAAGUGCCUGUAACCCCCCCAGCUCUGUCUCCACUCUGCCUGCCCCACGGAGAGCUGAGGGUGUCCUGCUCCUCCCCAGUGGGGGAUAAUCCCCAGUACUCCUGGCUUCUGGAUGGUUUGCCCCUGAAUCACUCCAGGCCCGUUUAUGAUGAUGGGAAAGGAGCUGUCAUUCUGGGAAAGAACACGUCCGGAGAGCUCACCUGUACGGCCAAGAAUAACGUCAGUGAGGAAAAGGCCACAGUGAUGCUCCCCAGCUGUGCAGGACUUACACCAGUUGUAAACUGCACCUUGACUAAUGGUACAGAGAUCGCAGUAAGAAUGAAUGCUGCACUGGGCCCUUCUCUGUUAUAUAAUAUGAAAAUAUUCUUCACUGUCAAUGGAAGAGAGACACUGGCUGCUGUUUGUAAUAGUGUCCCAGACAAAAAUAUGGUGAUAAUCAUUCAGUUGAUACAAUGCCAAUGCUUUUGGCAGCACUGGGAACAAUGGUCCUACUUCCAAUAUUGACAGUGGGGGUUUACAGUUACUGCAAGAAGAGACCCCAUGUGCAGGCAGAAGAGAGCAAACCUGACACUGAAGACAUGAUCAACAUGGAUAAGAGAGAGAACACUGUAACAGAGGUGGUGUAUAGAGUUGUCACAAUGUAGUUAAAUUGUUUGUACUGGUGACACACCAAGAUUUAUGUUUAGAAUACAGUGUUAAGGACAGUCCCAGAAAACAGGACAAUAUGAGAAUAGGAACUGCCUUUUUUAUUCUUAAACUAUUUUCUCAUUUUUUAUUUGAUUAUUUGUUCUGGGGAGCUUUUGCAGUUUUUAAAUUACAUGAUUUUGUGUGGUUUUUGCGUGACAGAUUGCUCAUCGUGGUAGAAAAAAAGAAGUUGUAUAUAUUUUACGCUUUCUGCCCCCACCAAAGUAAAACGCCCCCACCGACCUGAGCAGGCUGACGGCCACAGCACGCCGACCCUGUAAUAUGUCCUGUCAGCCACAUGUCCUGCUCUGCCAGCUUAAGGUACAAUGACCCACGUAGCACACUUGGUGGAAAGCGCUACUGGCUGGACUCAGCAGACUGUCUGUAGAGCAGUGAGAGGCAGAGGAACACAGCUGGCUGAGCUGCCCAGUGCCGGUGCUCUCUGGGCUCCUACUGACCGCUGAUGUGGCCUGGGGGAGAUCAAACUGGGAUCCCGGCUGUAGGCCCCUGCUUUGCUGUACCUGCCAAUGGGGAAACCCCCUGGUUUUAAAUGUAUAUUUUAUACAGUACUGUGCAAAAGUCUUAUAGGCAGUCCAAAGAAAUGUUUAAAGCUGUUUAUCUGGGUAGCAAGUGU